ensembl:lncRNA
GUCGUAUUCAAAACAUUUCAGGGCCGGGGAUUUAGCUCAGUGGUUCUGUGGGACUGCAUAACCUUUGUUCCUUUUCUCCAGCCCCAUUGUGAUUAAAUGUGAGUUAAGAGAUAAAGAUGCUUGUUAGUUUUGGGACACUAGAUAAAAAUCUGUAACAGACCUAAAGUCCCAAAGUAAACUACUCAAUUCCUUGUUUGCCCGGAACUGAUGUUCCGAGCACCACAAUUUUUAGAACAAGCUGCAAAUGUCUGCUGACCAUCAAUACGUGACAGUCGACCACUAACCUUUGUCCCCUUUUCUUUAAUUCUAUAUGUUAACUCCCCCUCAACCCCCUAUAAAAACAGCCUCGGACUCUGAGCUAGCUGCCUCUCUAAGCUAUUUUGCUUUGGGAGUGCCGUCUGGCCAGACUAAUAAAGGUCUGUUUUACUUUCCAACGUGUCCGGUGUGUUCCUUCUCAGGUGUUCUUCGCUGCAGUCAGCUCCUCGGAGCGUUUGGUAAGGCCCUUGGUCUUUCAUUCUGAAGGCACCGCUGGGAUCCCUGGGUGUGCUUCACUAUAGUCAGCUCCUCGGAGCGUUUGGUAAGGCCCUCAGUCUUACAUUUUGGAGGCCCCAGCGAGAUCCCCGGGUAAGGGACCCCCGUUCAGCCAAGACUCUGUGGCGGGAUCCAGCAGGAGACUCAGGCACAGACCUCAGAAAACCUCCGGAGGUUUGAUUCCAAGACCCUGGAACCUCGUUGGAAGGGACCGGUUCCUGCUGUCCUGUCAGCUCCCUUGGCGGUGAAGGUGGCUGGACAUUCUGCCUGGAUACAUCGCAACCAUCUGAAAGCCAGGACCCCCCGUGGAUGUCAAAAAGGACAAAUGGAAGGUUAUCAGCCAACCAGGCAACCAAAAGCUAAGACUGGAACGGGUUAGAGAUGUUUCACCUUAAUGAUAAUAUUCUCUGGGACACUGGCAGUAUUGCCCCCAAGAGGACUAGAUCACACAAAAAAAUGUAUGGAUUCAAUUGGCAAACUCGCUUAACUUGUCUGAAUUCUGCUUAAAUGUUGAUGUAAAUUUCCAUUAUGUGCUGGGAAGCUGUCUCAUUCCGGUAUGCACCUCUUUAGAAUUAAUACGACCCUAUACCCUAUUUAAAGACAUCCCAGGAAAAAAAUCUUACUUACCUGGAUAGUUAAAAUUGGGGGCAUGACACCUGCUGUAAACCUAAAAAUGCUGUCAAAUUAUAUACACCCAAGGUAAUUAUGUCAAACAAAACUGAAUGUGCUAUGUAUGAAAAUUGCACAACCAAAUGUCUGCGGAUAAAAUGGUCAAAAGGGAUGUCCUGCCAUAUAAAACAAAAAAUUGUGUAUAACAAUUGCCAUAUCUCCCUGCCCACAGGAUGGCUUUAUACCUGUGAAGGGAUAACCUUUAAUUAUAUUCCAGCAAAUUUAACCAAGACCCGUUGCUGUUUGAGUCGUCUAGCUGUAGUGUUGCCAGACAGAACUGAUUUGAUUGUGCCUAACAGAACUAAACGUUGGUCACCUUACACUGCACCAGGAUGCGAUGAUGACGUAGGUCUGUUAACAGAUGCUGAAGUAAUAACCAUGAUAGCAUCUUUUGUUGCCCUGCCUUCUAUAGGAGUCCAUGCUGAAAAGGCAGUAUGAAAAUUAGCUUGCAAGGUGGUCAAAGGGUUAAAUGCUAGCUCAUCAGCCUUGUCAUUAAUUAACCAAGAGUUACAGGAACAGAGACAGGCAAUCUUAGAUAAUAGAACAGCAAUAGACUAUUUGUUGCUCCUCCACCACCAAGGUUGUGAAAGAGUAAAAAAUAUGUGUUGUUUCAAUCUUACCGAUAAUGGUCCAAAGAUCGAAGAAAAGGUAAAACAAUUAGAAGAUCUGGCUCAAAGAAUAUAUAAUGAGGAUGACGGGGACUUGUUCAAAUGGUUAACUUCGUGGUUGCCCAACCUAAAAUGGUUAAAACAACUUUUUCUUGUCAUCAUAGUUUUGUGUACAUGCUUAUUAUUGUCAUGUUGUUGUAUACAAUGGAUGCCUACAUUUGUGCGUAAGAUUACUUAAGUUCCAAAAAUCAGUGGGGAAUGUGGGACUGCUUAACCUUUGUUCCUUUUCUCCAGCCCCAUUGUGAUUAAAUGUGAGUUAAUGGAUAAAGAUGCUUGUUAGUUUUGGGACACUAGAUAAAAAUCUGUAACAGACCUAAAGUCCCAAAGUAAACUACUCAACUCCUUGUUUGCCCGGAACUGAUGUUCCGAGCACCACAAUUUUUAGAACAAGCUGCAAAUGUCUGCUGACCAUCAAUACGUGACAGUCGACCACUAACCUUUGUCCCCUUUUCUUUAAUUCUAUAUGUUAACUCCCCCUCAACCCCCUAUAAAAACAGCCUCGGACUCUGAGCUAGCUGCCUCUCUAAGCUAUUUUGCUUUGGGAGUGCCGUCUGGCCAGACUAAUAAAGGUCUGUUUUACUUUCCAACGUGUCCGGUGUGUUCCUUCCCGGGUGUUCGUCGCUGCAGUCAGCUCCUCGGAGCGUUUGGCUGUAAUUAUGUUCCUCUCUGGUGAACACAGUCACCUCUACUCACGGCCGUGGGGCUUGGAGAGGUGGAUUUACAGAGAAACCAGUAGGAGUUGAACUUUCAGCCUCCAUUUGUCCAGCCUGCCUCUGAAGCUCUGGAACUCUUCUGGAUUACAGAGCACCCUUGGAAGUCAUGGGGCCAAGCUACGUUCACACCCACCUCGCCCCCGGGCGGCCCCUGGGGCUGGUGGGCCUCGUGGGACCUUCAUUCCACUGCUCUCUCUGCUCUGAGAGAAAGGUUGGAAGGAGAAACUGCCCUGCCCCUGCUCAGAGGUGACGACAUCCAAGCUCCAGCCACCCCAGGAGUGACAGGAGCUGGCUGAGUUUGACAAGCU